CUUUUGAGUAUAAUUGAAGGUCUGGCCUGCCCCCUGAGUAGUUAAAUGGCCGCGGUAUACUGACCGUGCAAAGGUAGCAUAAUCAUUAGUUUUUUAAUUGAAAGCUGGAAUGAAAGGUUGGAUGAGAAAAUAGCUGUCUCUAAUUUAAUUAUAUAGAAUUUUAUUUUUAAGUAAAAAAGCUUAAAUGUGUAUAGAAGACGAGAAGACCCUAUAGAGUUUUAUAUUUGAUUAUCAUGAGUUUUUUAGAAUUUUAAAUCUUGUUAUAUUUAUUUAUUUAGUUGGGGUGAUUGAAAAAUUAAGUAAACUUUUUUUUUAUUAUUACAUUGAUUUAUGAAUAAAUGAUCCUAUAUUUUAGAUUAUAAGAUAAAAUUACCUUAGGGAUAACAGCGUAAUUUUUUUUGAGAGUUCUAAUCGAAAAAAAAGAUUGCKACCUCGAUGUUGGAUUAAAAUUUACUUUUGGUGUAGAAGCUAAA
rnacentral:rRNA from 1 species